AGAGGAUUAUGAGUAGUCUCUGGUUCUAAGAUUUAUUUUCAUCCACACUAUAAGUCGAGACGAGCUCGAGCUGCAUUUCUUGAGGAUAUUCAAGCAUUAGGAAGGGAAAUGAACGAAACAGCGAACUUAACAACAACUGAACAUUCCGAAUUUCACGAUAAUUACCAUCAUGGAGUAUUAAAUUUCAAUCUGCGAUGGAUAUCAACCGUAGGAGGAUUUGCAGUCCUACUUCUACUUGUGUAUUUGUAUCUUAAAAUCAGUUCUUGCGUCAUAAAAAAGAAGACAUUAAUCAAAGAGCAGUCUUUAUUAUAUGAUUCAGGUCAAGAAAGAAAUCAAUAUACAUCGGUAUAAGUCAAAGAUAACAAAAAUCAAUCUGCUAAUUGAAAACAAAGGAAGCAAUCGGAUUUAUUUUAUUGACUUUUUCGGUGCUCUUUUAUUGUUACAUAACUGCGAUUGUAAAUGCUUAUCUACCUGUCUAACACUUCUAAAAAGAUGGGUGCUUUCAAAUUCUAUCAUGACACAAUGCAUUUUUGUUUUAUGACCGUUGGUUAUUAUACCAAAACAUCUCUUUUGUGUGAGUAUUUAAUUAAUACCAUUUUAUAGUCGAUUUUGAUUACGUUGAAGUUCGCAAAUGCAAGGUAUAGUAAAUUGUUUGAAAAAUUAUUGUAAAAAUUAGUAAUAAAAUUAAAAUACAAAAUAACGAACAAUGAUUUAAAGCAGGGGUCUCAAACUCGCAGCCCCUAGGAAAAUUGAGUUUGGAAUCCCUGAUUUAAAGGCUUAUAGCCCACCAAACCAUUUAGUGUGAUCCUUGUCAAUACAGAUUUCCCCCCAUCAAGCAUUAAUUUAAAAUCUGACAGUUUAUUUUUAACAAGUCGCUCAAACGUGGUUAAAAAAAAUAAUGUUUUUCGUUCUUGUCGCUGCGUUGAAUAUAUUUGCCCGUUUAGCCUGAUGCCAUUUAUUUAUUAGUACAAGGCUGACAAAUGGCCGCAUUCUCUUCUCUUGCCUUUCCUCAUGGAUAAACUAUUUUUUUGUGUGGCGAGGCUAGAUGUCUGAAAUUGGUUAUAUAGCCCACCGACAAAAAUGUUGCACAUCCCUAGUUUAGAAUAUCACAUAACCACAGUGUGUUAUUAACUUUUGAUUAUUGCAUUUGUACAGGAUGCAUUCUUUUUUGAACAAUCUAUAAGCUGCAAACAUGUAUUUGAAUAAAUCAAAAGUGUAAAUAGUGUGCCUGACACAUUUAUACCACAACGAAAUUUACCUUGGAUAUUGUUGGGGAUUUAAUAUUUUCAUAUACUUCCAUUGCAUAUUUCCAACAUACCUUCAUGGUUUUUCAUUAAAACGAUGAAUUUUUCAAACUAUGAAAAUGCUAUAUAGCCUACUCAUCUACCUCAGAGCAAACUAGUGAAAUAAACAUAUCAAUUCCUCGAGCCACUGGAAAGUCUCAUUGGAAUUCCUAGAGUUCCGCUCGCCCAGAAAGUUUGGAAACCAUUGGUAUAAUGCAUUGGUUUUUAGUCGGGAUUCCGCAUAACCCUAGAGUUCCCCCUGUACAGUCGAGAGUCCAAUAUAAGUAUAUAGAAUCAAAUAUCUAUUAUAUUUACCACUAGUAUUAAACUUGCGACACUUUGAAAAUCAUUUUGACUUGCCAGUAUAUAUUAGAUUUGCUUUCAUAUAUAUUCAUAGCACAUACAAUUCAGACUAUUGGAAUAUAACACAGGUAUUCCCUUUUUUUAUAUUUAUGUCAUACAAAUGCAUGAAUCUCAAACAUAAUUUAAGUAGAUCAACUUGGCUUUCUAUGCCGACCAAUUAAUUUUUGACGUGUGUUGCUCUCCUGCUUCUGAGGUUUUGGGGAGCGCACUUUUAUCAUUGAGCUCUCGAGUUUUGUUAUUUGUAGGUGUCUAUUUUUCAUGUUUAUUUUUUAUUUAGCUAAUAUUCAGAAUAAUGAUCAUAUAAAUACAUUAAAUUGUGUGUAA